UACGAAGGGGGCUAGCGUUGCUCGGAAUCACUGGGCGUAAAGCGCACGUAGGCGGACUCUUAAGUCGGUGGUGAAAUCCUGGAGCUCAACUCCAGAACUGCCUUCGAUACUGGGAGUCUCGAGUUCGGGAGAGGUGAGUGGAACUGCGAGUGUAGAGGUGAAAUUCGUAGAUAUUCGGAAGAACACCCGUGGCGAAGGCGGUUCUCUGGGACGGUACUGACGCUGAGACGCGAAAGCGUGGGGAGCGAACAGG
rnacentral:rRNA from 1 species